UACGAAGGUGGCAAGCGUUGUUCGGAAUCACUGGGCAUAAAGCGCGUGUAGGCGGCUAGGUAAGUCGGGUGUGAAAUCCCUCAGCUCAACUGAGGAACUGCGCCCGAAACUACCUUGCUUGAGGUCUGGAGGGGAGAGUGGAAUUCCCGGUGGAGCGGUGAAAUGCGUAGAUAUCGGGAGGAACGCCGGUGGCGAAAGCGACUCUCUGGACAGAUCCUGACGCUGAGACGCGAAAGCUAGGGGAGCAAAC
rnacentral:rRNA from 1 species